rnacentral:rRNA from 1 species
CGUUGUUCGGAAUCACUGGGCUUAAAGGGCUCGUAGGCGGCCAACUAAGUCGGACGUGAAAUCCCUCAGCUUAACUGGGGAACUGCGUCCGAUACUGGAUGGCUUGAGUUUGGGAGAGGGAUGCGGAAUUCCAGGUGUAGCGGUGAAAUGCGUAGAUAUCUGGAGGAAUACCGGUGGCGAAGGCGGCAUCCUGGACCGAGAUUGACGCUGAUGAGCGAAAGCUAGGGGAGCAAACGGG